rnacentral:rRNA from 1 species
AACGAACGCUGGCAGCAUGCCUAACACAUGCAAGUCGAACGAGAUCUUCGGGUCUAGUGGCGCACGGGUGCGUAACGCGUGGGAAUCUGCCCUUUGGUUCGGAAUAACAGUUGGAAACGACUGCUAAUACCGGAUGAUGACGAAAGUCCAAAGAUUUAUCGCCAGAGGAUGAGCCCGCGUAGGAUUAGCUAGUUGGUGUGGUAAAGGCGCACCAAGGCGACGGUCCUUAGCUGGUCUGAGAGGAUGAUCAGCCACACUGGGACUGAGACACGGCCCAGACUCCUACGGGAGGCAGCAGUGGGGAAUAUUGGACAAUGGGCGAAAGCCUGAUCCAGCAAUGCCGCGUGAGUGAUGAAGGCCUUAGGGUUGUAAAGCUCUUUUACCCGGGAUGAUAAUGACAGUACCGGGAGAAUAAGCUCCGGCUAACUACGUGCCAGCAGCCGCCGUAA